rnacentral:rRNA from 1 species
GUGAGGAAUAUUGCGCAAUGGAGGCAACUCUGACGCAGCCAUGCCGCGUGCAGGAAGAAGGCGCUACGCGUUGUAAACUGCUUUUAACCGGGAAGAAACCCCAGGACGUGUCCUGGGUUGACGGUACCGGAGGAAUAAGCACCGGCUAACUCCGUGCCAGCAGCCGCGGUAAUACGGAGGGUGCAAGCGUUAUCCGGAUUCAUUGGGUUUAAAGGGUGCGUAGGCGGAGCGUUAAGUCAGUGGUGAAAUCCUGCAGCUUAACUGUAGACUUGCCAUUGAUACUGGCGCUCUUGAGUGCGCUUGAAGUGGGCGGAAUGUGCCGUGUAGCGGUGAAAUGCUUAGAUAUGGCACAGAACACCAAUUGCGAAGGCAGCUCACUAAGGCGAUACUGACGCUGAGGCACGAAAGCGUGGGGAUCGAACAGGAUUAGAAACCCGGGUAGUCC